UAGGCGCAUCAACACAUGAUGUAGACAUCGUGUCCAAAAGAAGAGCGAGACGUAAUCCUGAGGCUGAAGCCACCGAGUUUAUGUGAUCUGGAUGUGACAAGUCUUGUUUUAAGGCCCAGUGGAUCAAUGAUUGGAAAGACACCAACUGUUGAUGUUCUAUCUCAACAUUCUCCAGAUUCAUGUGAGCGAUAAACCGACUUCAUCCCUCCAACAGACACCAACUGUUGGGGUUCUAUCUCAACAUUCUCCAGAUUCAGAUGUGAGCGAUAAACCGACUUCAUCCCUCCAACAGAAACCAACUGUUGAGGUUCCAUCUCAACAUUCUCCAGAUUCAGAUGUGAGCCAUUAACUGACUUCAUCCCUCCAACAGAAACCAACUGUUGAGGUUCUAUCUCAACAUUCUCUAGAUUCAGAUGACAGCCAUAAACCGACUUCAUCCCUCCAACAGAUUGACAGCAGGACAAAUCGCUGGAAGUGGGUAUGUCUCAAGCUUCUUCCACUUGGUCCACUCCAAAGCGGGCUGCAAAGGGGAAGAAGUGGAAGCAGUUGAAUGACACAUGUUGCAUUUUGUAACUGGCAACAAAGUACCAGGUAAAAAAGAUUGUGAAGCCUGCCUCCAUAAAGAACUAGUAGCUCUACAGGACAGAGAUUGGCUUGCCAUCAAGUACUACAUCCAUAACAGAAUUAUAUUUAAAAAAAGGGAAAAAAAAUGUUUUCCCACAUCUUCUGUGGUAGUUUGAGUAUGUUACCAGCAAUUAAAAAAGCAAAAUAAACAGCAAGCGUUUUGUAUUUAUUCCAGAUAAUUCUU